rnacentral:rRNA from 1 species
AAUGCUUAGGAAUCUGCCUAUUAGUGGGGGACAACAUUCCGAAAGGAAUGCUAAUACCGCAUACGCCCUACGGGGGAAAGCAGGGGAUCUUCGGACCUUGCGCUAAUAGAUGAGCCUAAGUCAGAUUAGCUAGUUGGUGGGGUAAAGGCCUACCAAGGCGACGAUCUGUAGCGGGUCUGAGAGGAUGAUCCGCCACACUGGGACUGAGACACGGCCCAGACUCCUACGGGAGGCAGCAGUGGGGAAUAUUGGACAAUGGGCGAAAGCCUGAUCCAGCCAUGCCGCGUGUGUGAAGAAGGCCUUUUGGUUGUAAAGCACUUUAAGCGAGGAGGAGGCUACCGAGAUUAAUACUCUUGGAUAGUGGACGUUACUCGCAGAAUAAGCACCGGCUAACUCUGUGCCAGCAGCCGCGGUAAUACAGAGGGUGCGAGCGUUAAUCGGAUUUACUGGGCGUAAAGCGUGCGUAGGCGGCUUCUUAAGUCGGAUGUGAAAUCCCUGAGCUUAACUUAGGAAUUGCAUUCGAUACUGGGAAGCUAGAGUAUGGGAGAGGAUGGUAGAAUUCCAGGUGUAGCGGUGAAAUGCGUAGAGAUCUGGAGG